AGGAAGCUUCGGAGUCCCUU
rnacentral:miRNA from 1 species